UGCUACCUUUCCUAUCCUCUACCAUCCCCCCUCCCUCCCCUCCCAUCUUCUCUCUCUACCCCAUCCACUGUAAUUCAUAUCUCUCCUUGUUUAUUUUCCCAUUCCCCUCAAACCACCUGAUUUCUAACAAUUCUGACUUCUUCUCCCUGCCCUAUCUUCCACUUUGUAGAGGACCAGCACUAAAAACUAAUAGGUAGAAAUGAUGAUAUGUGUGUAUGUACAUGCACUUUUAAGAUAUUUUCAACUCUCCCCAUACAUUCUUGAAAAAUGAUGAAAUAGUUUUAAAAAAUAACUCUUGAGUUUAGCUUUGUGUCACUACUAUUGCUAUGUCAGAUGUUUUGGCAGGAAAAAUUGGUAUCAGGCUAUCUUAAUACUUAGAAUUAGGUUUUGAAGUUGAUAACCAAUAUUUAAUAUAUUUGGAUUAUUUUUUUCCCGUGACUACUAUGGUUAGAGAAAACAAAAUGGUGUUUCAUUUCUCUAACUUCAUGGCAAUUCUGAGUAUAGUCAGCAUGGGAUGAAAUUUAAAAAAAAAAAUCUCUCCAGAAAAAAAGAAAGGAAGAAAUUAAUUAAUUAAUUAAUUAGCAGGUUGUAGCUAUUAGCAGAGAUAUAAAGAAACAUCUUAGGAAAGAGUUGCCACUUUAUUACCAGAAACCUGUGUAUCUUAAAAAGCGAUGGUAAACCUCUUUAAAAAUAAGACAGAAAAUUUUGAACAUGAUUUAAAAAAUUUAUAGAGAAACUUUUGCUUUUCUGAAAACUGUUGUUUUUAUGAUCUAUAACAUGAUUGACAUUUCAUGGUCUAUAUCAUCACAUUUCCA
rnacentral:lncRNA from 1 species